UCAGCCCUUUGUCGCUAAGAUUC
rnacentral:snRNA from 1 species